UCCUCCCUCUGUCGGCGUGCUUAACACAUGCAAGUCGAACGGAAAGGCCCUGCUUUUGUGGGGUGCUCGAGUGGCGAACGGGUGAGUAACACGUGAGUAACCUGCCCUUGACUUUGGGAUAACUUCAGGAAACUGGGGCUAAUACCGGAUAGGAGCUCCUGCUGCAUGGUGGGGGUUGGAAAGUUUCGGCGGUUGGGGAUGGACUCGCGGCUUAUCAGCUUGUUGGUGGGGUAGUGGCUUACCAAGGCUUUGACGGGUAGCCGGCCUGAGAGGGUGACCGGCCACAUUGGGACUGAGCUACGGCCCAGACUCCUACGGGAGGCAGCAGUGGGGAAUAUUGCACAAUGGGCGGAAGCCUGAUGCAGCAACGCCGCGUGCGGGAUGACGGCCUUCGGGUUGUAAACCGCUUUCGCCUGUGACGAAGCGUGAGUGACGGUAAUGGGUAAAGAAGCACCGGCUAACUACGUG
rnacentral:rRNA from 1 species